rnacentral:lncRNA from 1 species
UGGGUUUAACAACACAUUUUGGAGAAAACAAUGUCAUAUCCUCUUAACAAAUGAAACCUAUGUAGCAAUUUUCAACCAAUCUCUACUUCCACAUGGUAAAUUAGCCUUCAGACAUAUUAUUGUAAAAAGUGAAAUUCUAUUAGAUAGCUUGUUAUCUAUACAAGGAAAAUUAUAAAUAAAAAAAGAAAAAGCUUAUGCAUAAAAUAAUUGUGUGUUGCUUGCAUGCUGUGCAUGUGAGAACCUAGGCAUAAGAUUUGGGGCAGUCUAAUGUAAUCCGACUGAGUUAUCACUCUUAAAUAGAUAAGACUAGUAGGUGCAGUAAAACUUUUGUCUAACAGGAAAACAGAGAGGAUUUAUGGAAAGGUCGGAUUCUUUUAUCCCUAUCUUAUUUCUUUUUUCCUCAAACUCAGCUGCCCUUAUCACUUGAGAGGCUUGUAGUAGGCCUCCACAGAGCACAAGAACUGAAGUUGACAUGUUUAGGAGAUUGCCCUCCUAGGGAGCAGUUGGCCACUCAUACCUUAACAGCUUUAAAAUGGAUUUCAUUGGCUUAAAGAACACCUUUGUGGCUUCUGUAAGCUUACAUGUUGCCACUAUAGACAUGUAACAGAGAGAAAGUUGAUUUGGGCAGGGAGAUCUUAAACAUAGGCAAGUCUGCACAAGCCCUCACAAUUCGGCCUCCAUAUGCUCAUUGCCUUAGAAACCCAUUUGACACAUUGCACAAAGACAUGUUUUAUGGGUCAUGACAGAUGCAAUAAAAUUGGGCUUUCUUUCGCAGUAUUGAUGCCCUUGUCGUUUGUGUAUCAGCUUAAACCACCUAGAGGACAAACCCAAAGGGUAGGGUUGUUUCAAUCAAUUUUCUGUAUUGUGGUUCUUCUCAGAUGCUUCUUGGUUUCUAGUCCGACUGCUCAAAAGGGUCAUCAAUCCCCCCUCUCUCUCUCUCCGUGGUGUGGGGAAUUUGAAGAACAGGGGUAAUAUUAUAUAAGAAUAAUUUAUUAUUCCAACUGCUUAUUUCUUCACCCAAAAUAAACAAGAAAAAAUAAUCAAGAACUCAACAAAAAUUAUCAAUUAGGCAGGAACCCUAAUCAAUCAUGGCCCAAAAUUGGAACAAAGAAAUUGAAAUAGAUGACAAAAACUAAAAAAUUCUACACAAAUGUAAUGGUGAAAAAGAGAGAGGAAAAGAGGAGUAGUUACAUUUGAGUGAAGCACUGUACUGUUGAUAGCACAUAUUAUCAGCAAACCUCCCAACACUAGGAUAUGCCGGAGUUGAUUCUUUCGACUCCAUGUUUUUCUUUGUUUUCUUCUCUUUCCUUCUUCAAGCAAAAGAUGUUAUUGGGUUGUGUUGAUCCGAUCCAUGGGCUUUGGUUCUUGAUCCGGAUCCGAAUUUAUUGGCUCCGGUUCAUUUAGUUGGAAUUUCCUCUCUUUUUUUCUUUUUUUUUUUCUUUCUUUCUUUUUCAACACCAAAAAAAAAAAAAAAGAAUUAGAAAAACCUUUUCGAAUACACUUUUUGAGAACAAUUUUUUUUGUUUUAUAAACUAAAAGUUUGUUUCGAAAUAAAAAUAUUUUUAAUAUUUUAAAAUACAUUGUAAAAAUUAUUUUUAUUUCUAGUGUUUUACUUUUAAUUAUUUUAUAUGUUUGUAUAGUUAUUACUUAAAAUAACUUUCAAAAAACAUUUGAAAACAACUAAAAGAUAUUUUCUAAAAAUACGUUAAGCUUUGUUUGAUCGCUAUUUCAAAAACAGUUCUAAAAAACAGUUUUAGAGAAUAAUUUAUAAAACUUAUGAUGUUUUGUAAAAUAAAAAUAUAUUUAAAAAUAUGAAAUGUUUUUAACUUAUUUUUAAUAUUUUUAAAUAUGUUUUAAAAUAAUUUUUAUAUCCGAUCAUUUAUUUUUAAUUACUCUACAUGUAUAAUUAUUUUUUUAAACAAUCCUCAUAAAAACAAGUAAAAAAAACACAAAAUAAUUAAAAGAUAUUAUUUAAAAACACCAUAUUUUUUUAUUAAAAACAAAAAAUUGAAAAUAGUUUUUUAUUAUCAAAAAUAUUUUCUUGUUUUUUUGUUUUGAAGGAUCUCAAGAAUAGAAAUUUGUUUUAAAUAAUAGUUGUUAAGAAUAAAAAAGAAAAAAUAAUUUUUUGAUUGUAAAACAUGUUUUUCUAUUUAUUUAUUUUUAAUUAAACAAUGGUAUUCAAAAAAUGGUGUAAAUAAAAUGUAGUUUUACCUUUUUUAAUUGCUUAAUUUAAUUUAUAGUUCUCAUUGUUAGAAAUUUUUAUUUCUAUCCCUUAUCUUUUUUAGGUUUUAUCUCAUCCUUCUCUUCUUUUUUAUUUCAUAAUUCAUUGUUUUUAUUAAAUAAAAGCCCAUUGAAAUUAUGAAAUGUCUUAUCUUUUUCUUUCUUCCAAAUCCUCCCUUGUAAUAUGGAAUUUUUUUAAUUAAAUAUAUUAUUUUUUUUAAAUAAUUUUUUAAAUAUUUACAAAAAUACAAUAUUUUUAAACUUAUCUUUUGAAAAAAAAAUAGUCCUUUCAAAAAAAAUGAUUUUACAUUUAAAAUCCAUGGGAAAAAAAUAUUAGCAAACCAAUCUAGAAAAAUUGAAUCAAAUUGAAUUGAAUCGAUUUGGGUUUUUUUUUUUUUUAAUUUUAAACUUUAUUAGAUCAAUUUGAGAAAAAAAAAUCAAUUUUUUUAUUGGAUUUAUGAGUUAUCAACAUUUUAAAUAUACACAUAUUUUUAAUUCCUAAGGCAAUCUAGUAUAGACAUUAGUCUACUCACAAUAGUCUAUAACUCACCCACUUCCACACAUUAUUUUUUAAAAUUUUAUUUAUUCCACUUCCUUACAAUAUUUUUCUAAUUUUAUUUAUUUAUAUCCUUAAGCAUAUUGUGGAUAAUGUUGAUCUUUUGGCUUCUCUAGUAAAUCUUAGGAGAAAAUACAAUAGCCCAAGUUUGGCUUACGUCAAUUCAUUCCUUAGUUUGUAUUAGUUUGGAAUGAAUUUAGGAGAAAAAGGUAAUGUUAGAAGAAAAUACAAUAGCCCAACUUAGCAUUAUUCUAUAUAAGAAGUGUCUCCCUACAGUACCAAAUAGCUACUUAUAAAGAAGGGGACCAAUCAUAACAUGCUAUGUAUAUAAUUUAGUCCAAUUGCCUUUUUGACUAAAUAAUGGUUCUAAAUUCAUUCUUUUUCAUUUUUUUCAAAUAUCUUUUUACAUUAUUGUAAGAUAAAAAAUAAAAAGUUGGCUUAAAAAUAAAAUAAUUUAAAAAAUAUAAGAGCAAUGCAACCUAAAAUGACAAUAAUAUAUAAUUUUAUUGUAUUAUCACUAGUUUCCCAUUGUUUAGUUUUUGUUCAAGUGUUGUAAUACGCUUAACAAGGCAUUCUGGGUCUUCAUCUUGCUUAAAGAGUUCAAACCAUUAUCAAAACUUAACAUGUGUUUAACGCUUUCUUAAAUAUCUAUAAAACUCUUCUUGAUAGGUAAUUCUUAUUACUCUUGGGAGUUCACCAUCCUCCUUUUUUCUUAUUUUCUUCUAAAUAGAAGUCUUGUCUUAAGAUUUCUUUGUUAAUCUUAAGAUCUUAUUCUAUAAUAUUAAUCAUCUGUGAAUAUGUGGGGGACAUAUCUAAGAAUUCUUGUUGUGAUUCUUAGAUAGACUUUCUAUCUUUUUAAUAGAAAGGUCUUGCUAAGUUGGUGUGACUCCGACACUAGACAACUUAAUGUUCUUGGGAUUUGCAUAUUUGGAUCCUUCUUCCAAGUGUCUUACUAUCCACUCUAUUAAGCAUAUUUCCUAAGUUUGAUUUAAAGUUAGGAUUUUAGCAAAUCCAAAUUGUUGAAAAUGAUAAGUAUAAGACAACCUUUACAAUACCCUUUGGACAUUAUGAAUGGAAUGUAAUGCCUUUUUUACUUAAGAAUGCCCCUUUAGGAUUCCAAAACAUAAUGAAUUAAAUCUUUAAUUAAUUUCCAAAUAUCAUCAUUGUUUACAUUGAUGAUGUUUUGGUAUAACUUUUCAUUAAUUGAAGAACACUGGAAACAUCUUAAUAAAUUUAUUUGGAUUGUUAAGGAAAAUGGUAUAAGUUUAUCUGCCUCCAAGAUUAAUCUUUUCCACACUAAGAUAAGAUUCUUAGGUCAUCAUAUUUACCAUGGAACCAUAACUCCUAUUCAAAGGUCAAUCUAGUUCACUGAUAAGUUCCCAUAUGAGAUUUAAGGAUAAGAAACAAUUACAACGUUUCUUAGGAAGCCUUACAUUGUGUCAAAAUUCCUUAAUAAAUAAGUCAAUUAUGUGCCCCAUUAAGAAAAAAAACACUCAAAAAAGACCUCAUACCAUGGAAUAAGGAACACAUUAAGAUUGUCAAAAUUAUUAAGUAUAAAGUUAAACCUUUGUCAUGUUUAGCCUUAGCCAACCUUGAAGCCUUUAAGAUUAUUGAAAUAGAUGCUUCAGAAAUAGGUUAUGGUGGAAUCCUUAAGCAAAAAAAUGGUGAUAAGGAGAGAUUGGUUAGAUUCACUUCAGGAAUAUGAAAUCAAGCCCAACUCAAUUACAGUACCAUAAAAAAAUAGUUUUUAAGCAUUUUUUUAAUGUAUUUCAAAAUUUCAAGAUGAUUUUUUAAAUCAAAAUUUUUUGGUAAAAAUUGAUUACAAAUCAACCAAAUCGUUUUUGCAAAAAUAUAUUAAAAAUAUAGUUUCUAAGCAUAUUUGUGUAAGAUGACAAACUAUUUUAAGAUUAAUUACAAAUUGUCCGAACCACAUAUUUGUAAUCAAGAGAUAUGUAUCAAACAAUCCUUUCUUUUGGUUCAAAAUUUAAAAGAAGAAACAAUUUUUGGAACACCUUUCCUAAACACUAUAUACCCUAUUACUAAAGUAGAUAGUUAAGGUUUAAGAACAAAAAUCCUAGGACAUGAGGUUCUUUUUUGAGUUUGCUUAUCCUCAACAUAAAUGAGUUAAGAUCCACAACCAUUUGAAGAAAAAUCAAGAUCAAGGAAAAUCACAUUAACUCCCUAGUUCAAGAGGUGGGUUAUUAAAGAAUUGAAGGACAAUUAAAAGUGAAGAAAACUCAAGAUGUCUUAGAAAAAUUCAAGGAAAAACUAAUAAGAGAAGUAUGUUCAGAAAAUCCUAAUUCAUUCUGGCAUAGGAAUAAACAUGAGAUAGAACUACCUUAUGUUCCAAACUUUAGCGAGAAAAAUAUUUUGACUAAAGCAAUGUUAAUCCAAACGAAUCAAGAAUUGCUAACAUAUUGUAAAAGAGAGAUUCAAGAUCUUCUUGAUAAGAAAAUCUAAAUCUUGUUGGAGUUGUUCAACCUUCUAUGUUUAGAAACAAGCAGAACUAGAAAAGGGAACACCUAGGCUUGUAAUUAUAAGUCUUUUAAUGAUGCAUUAAGAUGGAUUAGGUAUCCUAUACCUAAUAAGAUUAACAAUAUUUUAAUAUGCUUUUCUAAGUGCCCAUAAUUGAAUUAUGAUAAUUUUUAUGUGAAAUUAUAUCCAUGCGACAGUUUGGUCGAGUGGUCUAAGGUGUUAAAUUUAGGUUUUGGUCCAAAAGGAUGUGAUUGCAAAUCCCACAGUUGUAAUUUUGUUAAGGUUCAUAGGCAUUUAUUCCUUUAGGUCCAUUUAGUGCUUCUCUAUUUUUAUUUUUAUUUUUGUCCAACAAGGUAAAAAAGAAACUUGUUUAUGCUUUUCUAGGCGCUUAUAAUUGAAUUGUGUUAAUUUUUAUAUGAAAUUACAUUCACUUGACAAUUUGGCCGAGUAGUCUAAGGCGUCGAAAUUAGGCUUUAGUCCAAAAGGGCAGGGCAUGGGUUCAAAUCCCACAAUUGUCAUUAUGGUCAAUGAGUUUUUAGAUUCCUUUAGGUAUAUUCAAGGAAGAAAAUGUCGCGAUAUUUUGGCGAUAUAUCGCCGAAAUAUCGUGUAUCGAAGGGUUUCGACACGAUAUUUCAUGGAGAAAUAUCGGUCCGGCGAUAUUUCGGGAUUAAUCUCGAGAAAUCGGCAAUUUCUCGCGAUAUAUCAACGAUUUUGGCGAUAAAUCGAUGAUUUUUCCCGAUAUAUCGCAUGAUCAACACGAGUCAACGAAAGUCAAAUGCGCUACAGUGUCGUCAAUGCGCUACAAUGCUGCUACAGUGUCCUCCCAUUUGUUGCUGUCGAGAGGAUUUGAACCCACCCGCUUACCACCUAGGCUAACUUGCCCUUUGAUAUAUAAUAUGCAAUAAAUUUAUAUAUACUUAAACUCAUUAUAUAAAGAAAAUAUAAGAAUAUUUUAAAGAGAAAAUUAAUUAUAAUUAUUUUAUAAUUAAAUGCAAAGUAUUUUAAUUAAUUACCAAAAAUAUAAAAAUUAUAUAAUUUUCUUCAUAGUGUUUUUAAUAUCAUUAAUAAUUAAUUAAAUAUUAAAAAAUUAUAUAUAUAUCAUAAUUUAUUUUAUAUUGUUUAAUACAAUUGAAUUAAAUGGGUCAUAUUUUAAUACUAAUAUAUAUUUUAAAAUUAGACAUAUUAUAAUCAAAUAUCAUAAUAUUAGGUGUAAUUUAAUAAUAAAUGUACACUAAUAAAAUUCAUAUUUUUAUCGAUAUAUACGAUAUUAUUAUCAAAUAUGAUAAAUCAUGUUAUACAUAUAUCAAAAUUUUUAAUAAAAUAACUUUAAAAUGUUUAUUAUACUUCUAAUUAUAUUAUUAUGAGGUUUUCCUUACAUUUUCAUGAGUUUUUAACAAUUUUAAGCUUACCGAUAUUUUUUUCCAAAAUAUCUGCUGAUAUAUCUCCGAUAUAUCCGAUAUAUCCGUAAAAUCGAAGUACUGAUAUAUCCGUGAUUACCGAUAUUUUCAUCCUUGGGUAUAUUUAGUGUUUCCUUGUUUCUUCUCUCUUUCUCUUGGCCCAAUAAGGUCCAUGGCAAACAUUUCUUUCUCCAGUGUAAAACUAUAUUCAUUUGAUAGUUUGGUCGAGUGGUUUAAGGAGCAAGAUUUAACCUUUGGUCCAAAAAGGCAUGGAUUCAAAUCCUACAACUGGCAUUCUAUUGAGACCCAUGGGCUUUUAUCCUUUUAGGAGUAUUUCAUGUUUCUCUAUUUUUUUGGGUCUUGUAGUGUUUCCUUAUUUUUUUGGUCCAAUAAAGCCUAAGAGAAACUUGUUUUUGUUUUUUCUAAGUGUCCAUAAUUGUAUCAUGAUAAUUUUUAUGUGAAAUUACAUUCACUCGAUAGUUUGGCUAAGUAGUCUAAGGCACCAUAUUUAGGCUCUGGUCCAAAAGGGUGUGGUUUCAAAUUCCACAACUGUCAUUAUGGUUUAUAAGCUUUUGGAUUCCUUUAGGUCCAUUUAUUGUUUUUUUUUGCUCUUUCUUGGCCCAAUAAGGUUCAUGGCAAACACUUCUUUCUCCAAUAUGAACUGUAUUCGUCUGAUAGUUUGGGCGAGUGGUCUAAGGCACCAGAUUUAGGUUUUAGUCUGAAAGAGCAUGGGUUCAAAUCCCACAGUUGUUAUUCUAUUAAGGCCCAUGGGUUUUUAUUGAUUUAGAUUUAUUUAGUGUUUCUCUAUUUCUUUUAGUCCAACAAGGCCUAAGAGAAACUUGUUUUUGUUUUCCUAGGCACCCAUAAUUGAAUUAUGAUAAUUUUUAUGUGAAAUUACAUUCACUUAAUAGUUUAGCUAAGUGGUCUAAGGCACCAAAUUUAGGCUCUGGUAUGAAAGUGUGUGGGUUCAAAUCCCACAAUUGUCAUUAUGGUCCAUGGGCUUUUAGAUUCCUUUAGUUCUAUUUGGUGUUUCUUUUUUUCUUCUCUCUUUCUCUUGGCCCAAUAAAGUCAAAGCCAAACACUUCUUUCUCCAAUGUGAAAUUGUAUACAUCUGAUAGUUUGGCCAAGUGGUUUAAGGCAUGGUCCGAAAGGCCAUGGGUUCAAAUCCCAUGGUUGUCAUUAUUCUAUUGUGGCCCAUGGUCAUUUGGAUUUCUCUAGGCCAUUUAGUGUUUGUGUGUGUGUGUGUGUGUGUGUGUGUGUGUGUUUUUUGCCUAACAAGGCCCAUAAGAAACUUAUUUUUCCUCUCCUAGGCACCCAUAUUGAAUUAUUAAAAUUUUUAUGUGAAAUUUCAUUCAUUUAACAGUUUGGUCAAGUGGUCUAAGGUGCUAGAUUUAGACACUGGUCCGAAAAGGCACGGGUUCAAAUCCCAUUAAGGCUCAUAGGUUUUUAUUGAUUUAGCCUUAUUUAGUGUUUCUCUAUUUUUUUUAGUCCAACAAGGCCUAAGAGAAACUUGUUUAUGUUUUUCUUGACAUCUAUAAUUGAAUUAUGAUAAUUUUUAUGUGAUAUUAUAUUCACUCAAUAGUUUGGUCGAGUGGUCUAAGGUACCAAAUUUAGGUCUAGUCCGAAAGGGCAUAGGUUCAAAUCCCACAACUAUCAUUAUUCUAUUGUGGCCCAUGGGCAUUUGGAUUCCUUUAGGCCCAUUUAAUGUUUUUUUUUCUAUCCCAACAAGGCCCAUGAGAAACUUGUCUUUCAUUUCCUAGACACCCAUAGUGAAUGAUCAAAAUUUUUAUGUGAAAUUGCAUUCACUUGGUCGAGUGGUCUAAGGUGCCAGAUUUAGGCACUGGUUCGAAAAGGCAUGGGUUCAAAUCCCAUUAAGGCCCAUAGGUUUUUAUUGCUUUAGCCUUAUUUAGUGUUUCUCUAUUUUUUUAGUCAAACAAGGCCCAAGAGAAACUUGUUUAUGUUUUUCUUGACAUCUAUAAUUGAAUUAUGAUAAUUUUUAUGUGAUAUUAUAUUCACUCAAUAGUUUGGUCGAGUGGUCUAAGGUACCAAAUUUAGGUUUGGUCCGAAAGGGCAUAGGUUCAAAUCCCACAACUAUCAUUAUUCUAUUGUGGCCCAUGGGCAUUUGGAUUCCUUUAGGUCCAUUUAAUGUUUUUUUUUUCUAUCCCAACAAGGCCCAUGAGAAACUUGUCUUUCCUUUCCUAGACACCCAUAGUGAAUGAUCAAAAUUUUUAUGUGAAAUUGCAUUCAUUUAACAAUUUGCUCGAGUAGUCUAAGGCGCCAAAUUUAGGUUCUAGUCUGAAAAGGCAUUGGUUUAAAUCCCACAGCUGACAUCAUUUUAUUCUAAGCCUACGGGCUUUUGGAUUCCUUUAGUUUUUCUCAUUCUUUAACACAACAAGGCUUAUAGGAAACUUGUUUCUCAUUUUCUAAGCCCAAUGAGGCCUAUCGAAACUUCACAUUGAUUUUGAUUUUUUUUUUCAUAAAAGCUUAAUUAAGAGAAAUAUUUGAACUUUGAACUCAUUACAUGUUUUAAUGAUUCAAAAUAAAUUAUUAAAAAUAAAUUAAAGUAAUAAAUAAAGAUAAAUAUUUUUUUAAAAAAAAACAUUUAAGGAUCGUUUAUCUUAAUUAUUUGUCUUUUUUUCUCUAACAACAUCUUUACUUAAUAAUAAUGAAGAUAACUAUGUUAGUUCAUUUAGAAUUUUUUUUUAAAAUUUUAUUAAACUCACAUAGCUUUAAAAUUUAGUUUUGUUAGGUAAUAGGUCAACAAUACAUAUGAAGUGUACUGAAUCAUGCCAAAGCCUUAACAGCAUUCCAAACUUGUAUACAUGCUUAUGCUAUUUUAAGUAAUAAAAAUAAAUAAAUAACUUGACUUAAAGUUGUCAAUGAAGAAUCUGAGCCAACAAGAACUAUUGUUUUCUUGACUUUGAUGACUUUAUUUAGGUGGAGGACCUUAAAGCUAACUUGAGACAAGAUUAUCUUGAUCUUUUGUUAUGAGGGAUAAUCCCUUUAUAUUCAUCUCCAUUAUCUAGAAGAUAGUUGGUGGAGGAAUCUUCGGAUUCUUGACUACCACAAUCAUCUUCCAAGGCGGAUAUUAAUAUGCUUAACAAGAUUUUAACUAGAUGAUCAAGUAAUAAGGGUCUUAGAUAGUAAGUCCAUAGAGAAAAACAAGAAAGACUAUAGCUUCAUACAUUUUGGUAUAACUCAAGUAGCAGUUAAAUCUUUAACUAGAAUAGGCUUAAACACCUCAAUCGUCAUGUGUCUAGAGGAUAAUAGACAUCUUGAUUACCAAGAUUCUAUUAUUUGGGCAAUUCAAGCAGGAUUAAAUGAUGGUCCUAUUUACUUUUAAUGUUCUCCUAAUUUGACAAUAAGAUAAGAGAUGUUGACAUUAUAGAUUCAAUUGUCAUCCAUGUUAAGACCCAUAGAUUCAAGUUUAAGCAAGGAAACAAUAUAGUUUCCAUUAUAACAAGAUUUGUUUACAAGAGCAUGACUACUAGCGUAGGACUUGGAGCAUUAUGCACCAGUCCUUAGAGAGUGAUAGAUUCACUUCAUAAGUCCAACUUCAUCUUCCCAAAGAAAAUCAUCUGGAAUGAAAUUGAGUUUCUAGAAGCAUGGCAUUUCACUAAUAUUGUUCCAUUCAUAGAACAAAGAAUAGAAAAUUUUGAACAAAUAGUUUAAUAUCCAGACAAAGGAUGAGAUUUGGUGUCUCCAACUCUUUCAAACAUUCUAGGAAACCUAGAAUUUCAUGAUAUGAACCUUCUAAAGCAUCAUGCUCAUUUAUCCCAACAAGAACUACUAGGAUAGAAGAAGGAUCCACAUAUACAAAUCCUGAGAACAUUAAUUUGUCUAGUGUUAGGAGUCACACCAACUUAGCAAGACCUUUCUAUUCAAAAGAUAGAUAGUCUACCUAAGAAUCACCAAAUAUGUCCUCCACAUAUUCCCAAAUGAUUAAUGUUAUAGAACAAGAUUUUAAGAUUAACACUGAAAUCUUAAGACAAGACUUCUAUUCAAAAGAAAAUAAGGAAAAAGAGAAUGGUACUUUAGCAAGGUCCCAAGAGUAAUGAGAACUAUUUAUCGAAAAGAGAUUUAUGGAUAUUUAAAAAAACGUCAAAUGCAUGUUAAAUUUUGGCAAUGGUUUGAACCCUUUAAGUAAGAUGAAUACCCAAAAUGCCUUGUUAAGUGUAUUAUCAACACUUCAAUAAAAACUAAAUAAUGGAAAAUUAGUGAUAAUACUAUCAUAUAAUCCAUUCAUCCCCCAAAGCUAAGAUAGAUAAGAACAUCAAUGGAACAAUAAUAAGAGCAUCACCCUUUAAGACUAAGACUAAGGAUAAAGAAACUACUAGUGUAAUAGAUAUUUAGAAAAUUACGGAACAAAAUACUAUACUAAUGUGUUUCUUAAGACAUUAGGAGAUCAACUCAAUAGAGUUAAUUAAGGAGGUAAUUCAAAAUAAAAAAAAAAUAUUAAGACAACCUUUAUUAAGAAAGAUAAUAAGCCUUUAUUUAAGCCAUUUAAGUUCUUUAAGAAAUUUCAAGAAAAUCCAACAAUAGAUUAAGAUUUAGAGGGUGUUUGGUAAAACCUAAUACUUAUUACUUAAUAAUUUAAGUUAACUUUAAGUUAAAUUAUACUUAAGUUAUUGACUUAAAACUUAUUACUUAAUUUUUUACUUUAAUUAUUAAGGUUUUUUUAUAUAUAUAUAAAAGUAACUUAAAAUUUAUUUUAAAUCAUCAAAUUAACAUAUUUAUUUUCAUAAAUUAUAACUAGGGUAAAGGAGGUUAAGUAACGAUGGAGAUGUCGUGGAGUAGAAAAAGAGAUCAUUGAGGUAACUAAGGAAAAUGAGGAUAAAAUGGUAAAAUGAAGAUGUGGAUUUAAUAAUAAGUUAAUUAUUUUUACUUAUUACUUGAAGUUGUUUUUGACUUUAAGUCAUACUAUUAAGUUAUUUUACCAAGUAUACUUAAUUUACAUAAUGACUUAAAUGAAGUUAUUACGUCAUUUUAAAUUGUUAAAUUGAUUUGCCAAAUGCUCACUUAGUAAAAAGAAUAACUGAAAAAGUAAAAGAAAGUUUAAGUGUCCCAGAGACACCAUAAUCUUCUUAUGCAAGAAGAGUUAAUGUUAUUAGUGAGAGAAUUAGUUCAGAUACUAGAGUUGAUGAACUCAUUAAGAUAUUAAGGAAUCUCGAAACCAAGAAAUUUCAAGAAUUUUCCAUAACCAAGACACUUCCAAUACUAGGAAUUUUUAUCUUAGGCCAACAUUUCCUGAUAUGCAAUAUGGGGAAAGAAAUCAAUACACUCAAGCUUCUUAUACUAGUGGAACUAUUUAUGAAUAGAACAUAAAUGGUAUGACCGAGUAUAAUAUACUCACAAAACUGCAAGAAAUAACUAUGGUCAACACAACCUAUAAGUUAAACAAUAGAUUGUUAGAUCAUGUUGUUGCCCAAACACUCAUUGUUGGUUUUACAAGUUAGUUGAAUGGAUGGUGGGAUAACUAUCUCACGCAAGAAGAUAAGAAUGCUAUGUUAAAAGCCUAUAGGAUAAAUGAAGACAAUGAAAUAGUUAAGGAUGAAGAAGGGAAGAUAUAGAGAAUGCAAUGGCUACUGUAAUUUUUUUUCAUCUCUAAACACUUCAUAGGAGAUCCAUCCAAGAUUAAAGAUAAGACAAAAGAUCUAUUAAUCAACAUUAAGUGUCCAAAACUUCAAUAUUUUAGGUGGUAUAAGGAUAUGUUCCUAACCAAAGUCAUGUUAAGAUCAUAUUGUAACCGAUCCUUUUGGAAAGAAAAAUUCAUGUGAGUAUUACCAAAAAAAAAUUCAAAAAAUAUUAGGAUUAAGAUAAGAGAACAAUUUAAUGGACAAAUUCCGUAUGAUAAGUUAACAUAUGGAGAAAUCAUAAGUAUAAUAAUUGUCAAAGGAAUAAACUUGUGUAAUGACUUUAAACUUAAACAACAAAUGAAAUCUGAACAAAACAUUUAUCCCUCUAAUUAAGAGGUGUACUUCUAAGUGCAAUUCCCUAUUGUCCAAAAUACUAAGUCUUUUUAUGUAUCAACUCUAGCCAAGAAAAACUAGGGAACAAGUCACUACAAAUUUUAUAGUACCCCAAGUAUAGGCCUUUGGCUAAAUAAGGGUAUUAAUUUUAGUUGAUCUUAAGUUAUUCAAAAUGUACGAUCAAAAGAGAUCCAACUUGAACUCCAUAAGCUAGAGUUGUAUCAUAUCCUAGCAUUUAGUAUUUUAUUCUGUUAUAAAAUACCAAAUAGAUUAAUAAAUUUAAAAUUUGGGUUUACGUCUAAGAUUUAGGCUUUUAGCACUCUAUAUAGAUUUGCCUUAAGGUAGAUAAUAAUGAAAAAAACUCAAGUAACUAGAGAUCAAGAAUUACCAAAAACUUUUUGUAUCAAGGAAUGGGCAAUUGCACCAUUCCUAAAUUCAAACUAACAUUAGAGGGUAUUUUGAUUUUGAUGCUAAUGUUUUAACCUUUCAUUUAACCCACCAUUAGUUCCAAUUACACCCAUUGUUUCCCCUUGGCACUAACCCUAGUUUUCAUAUUUCAUAACCCAAGAUAGCUUUUUAGCCUCUUAUGGUUGUGCUUUCAUCCACAAAAAAUCAUAAAUGAAAAAUAAAAAACCAUUUUUGAAUUAAAAAAAAAAAAAUAGAAGCAAUACUUAGAUUAAUAAUAAGAAGAAGAAAAACCAACUAAGAUCCUUCUUGUCUCUUAAGAAAAUUCAAGAAUUCUCUAAGAAGUUCUGACAAAACCUAAAAUUUGAGUUUUUAAUAAUCAAGGUAAGAACUAACAUGUGCAUGCUCCUAUUGGGCACUUAUUCCUUAAGAAGUACCUAAAAAUAAUUUGAAAUAAUAAAAUUGCAAUUUUCAAUUAUCCAAACCCACUUAAGGUUGAUGGAGUGCAAAUUUCGAAAUAAAAGAGGCUUUGGAUCAAAAUAGUAGUGGCCUAAUUCAAAUUUAGCCAAUUUUCAAGUUGGAUUUUGAAUUGGGAAGUUGGUUUCCCCAAAUUGUUAGUAGAAGGAUUCAAAAUUUUGAGAAUUUUGAAUUGGUUUCAAAAUCACUAGUUCCAAUUUCAAUUCAGAAUUUCGAAUUCAAAAUCAACAUAUGUUUUUCUUAGUUGACUUCAAUCAACCACUCGUUUUAGCUUUGAUUUGCAAACCAUUUGAAGUAUUGGAUUCCUAACUUCCCAAGAUUUGAAAGAUAUAUAGCUUGCCUAAAAAUGAUCUUAGGAAGUGCUCUAGAAUUCACUUCAAAGUGAAGGAAUGUGUUGCUACCAUAUUUUAAAUUCAAAUUCCCAUGUUGAACUUCAAGUUAUGGCGUCCAACCUUCUUUCUUGUGUUUUUUUGCCCUCUAUAUCUCUCCAUAACUUUCAUUUGUCAUCUCUCAUGCUAUGCAUUGAUUCAUUUACAUUUGUUGAAGCUCUAAUCAUGCUUCACAACUCUUGGAGCUCCUUUUAAACAUACUUAGGCCAUUUUCUACCACAGUUGAAAGCAAUUCUUGCAACUUGUAUAGUUUUCAUACAUACUUUAAACUUGAAAUUUAGCUAAAGAUAUAUGUUAGUUCAAUGACGAAGGUUUUAAUAACAAUUUAAGUUAUGUUGGGUGAGUUGAACCUUUAUAUUGCAUAAUUCAUUCCAUAUAUGUGUCCUUAGAGCACACAUUUUUAGCUCCAAUCAACUAUAGUUUCAAUUAGAUUUGCUUUAAGUCUAUGAACCAAUUAUGAACUACUCAUCAACUAAUAAGAAUUUCAUGACUUAGAUUUUUUAUGCAAUUCCUAAUGCACCUAAGACGUCAUAUACAACUUAAGUGAUGUAGGUUUAAAUGUUCAAAUAAACCAUAAUACAAAAUUGCAAUAGUAAAGUGAAAUCGAAAACUCGCAUUGUUACAUCAUAUCAUACUUUUAAAAGAGCUGAACAAUUAAUUCCAAACGAGUCUCCUUUUGAUAUCGCACCUUCACUAGGUUAGAGUACACCUAUAGAGGAUGCUAUUCAACCCCCAACACAAACCAUACCCUCACUUGCUCAAAAUACUCCACCUUCAGAGGAUAAUAUUCCACCCUUAACAUAGACAAUUGUAGAUAUAGUAGGACCAUCCACACGACAAACAAUCGACCCUACAUUGAGCACAUUGUCAAUUCUAGCCAAGCUUGACAAUUUAUAAGAGUUAUCAUUUGGAGCCCAAAUAUAUGCUCUAAAGGCAAAUAAAUGAUAUGUUUUAUUAUUAUUAAAAGGGAAGACAAGUUAGUACACCAAUAAUUUUACAAUUAUUCUCAGCGAAUGAGAAUUUUGUUAUUGUUUGUUGACUAGAACUAAAACUAUAGAGUUAAAACCCUAAAUUGGAUUCAAAAAUUAAAUCUUAUUACAAAAAUAAAAUUUUUCUUAUUCUUGGUUAUUAAAGAUGAUUCCAAUUGUGAGUACCUUAUUGCUAAAAGGAUGGAGAUUACAAAUGUUUUUCAUAUUCAUAAUGAAGAAAAUGAGAAUAUUGACCUUAUGUUGUUCAACCCUUCUAUUGCAUCAAGCUUGAAAUGAUAAAAUCAAUUGCAAAAUUUCAAAGAACCUAUAGAAAAGUUGUUGUUAUCACGUGAAACUUAUGGAUCCAUAUAUGGGAAUUAUAGAAAAAACUAUCUUUAAAUUUUAAAACUUGUAAGAUUAUUUGAUAAUUUUUCAAUUCAAAAUGAAGCUUAAUGUCCCCCAUCUAAAUGAAAAUUUGGAUUCACUAGGUCACUUCAACUUUAAGCUAAAAUUUUGACAGAUAAAAAAUGGAACAUAUUAUGCUUGAGGAUGACUGAUUAGAGGUUGUAGGGCUAUGUUAGCUUUCAAAAAAUUCGAGGGAAAGAAAAUAAAGAAAAAAAUAUAAAUUUUUUUUUAAAUCAAUAAAUUAUUUUUAGAUAUUACUUCAAAUUCAUUUCACUUACUUUAAUAUUUUUAUUUAAAAACUAAAUAAAUUUAAAAUGAAUAAAUUUCUAAUUAAUUUUAAUCUUUUUUUUUUUUUUUUCAUAAUUUUCAUAAAGAAAACCAAACAUAUAAAACAUAAUUUCUUUAAGAUAAUUUUUUUCUUUUUUCGGUUUUUUUUUUUUAAAUUAAACAUAACAUAAAGCGUUCAUAAAAAAUGUAACAAGUGAACAACUAGGUAAUAGUUUAAUAAAUAUUGCAAAAUAUAUGACUUUAAGACACGCCCUAAGCUAGCUACAAAAAUUAAUGGAUUCGGUAAUGUAGGUAUUGAAGGUAGGUCUAAAAUCAUGAUGCAUUGUUGUAAUAAAAAAUAAAAAUAAAAUGUUUCAAUUUAAUUUAUUAAAAUGUUAAUGGAGGAUAUUAAGAACUUAAGCCAAAUAUCAAUAAAUAUCACCAUAUUUAUAGGAAAAUUAAAAAUAAAAUCACAAAUGGUGAGUCAAGACAAGAAUUGCAAUCCACAAAUCUUUUGUAUUUGAAUUUCCAAGAGUUUUCUCUCAUAAUUUCUAUUUAUAUACAACAAAAACUAUAUUAUAAAAAAUAUGAGUGACUCAAAACGUCAAUAUAAAAUUUCAUUUUCUCUUCUCUUAAAAAAUAAAUAAUGUAAAACACUUAAAUUAAUUAUUCUAAGACAUGCUAUUAGAAUUUUAAUUUUUCAAUCUUAUCCAUACUUUUUCAAAAUUCUCUAAAUUAUUUUUUCUCUCUUCAUAAACAAUAAAUAAACAAAUAAAAAUUAAUGAUACUAAACAUGCUCUAACAUUGUUUCAAGACCAUUAUUAAACAAUCUUAAUAUUAAAAAAAAUAAAAACUUUAAUCUUAUAAUUUUAUGCAUUUGAUUCAAAUUGAAGUCAACCCUUCUUUUGUCAAUUGCAAAAUUAUGAACUUACACGUGAAAAGGAAAGUGGAUUGCAUGAUUGAAUGGCCACAUUUGCACUAAAAUAUUGAAAUAUUUGUGUUUUUUUUUUUAAAAAAAAAUUAGGUGUUUAAUAAAAAUUUUAAAAUCUAAAAAAUUAUUUAUAAUAUUUAAAAAAAAUAUUUUUAUUAAAAAUAUUUUGAAUAGAAAUAAUGUGAAAGGAAGUCUAAAUAAUUGAUGUUAUGAGUAGACCUUCAAAUUUAAUUGUUUUAUUAUGGAGUUUCAUUUAUUUAUAUUUUUAUAAUUUUUACUUAUUUAUAAUAGAAUGUAAAUUUUAAUUUUUAAAUAUUAAAUAAAAUCUCCACAAAACUUGAGAAAAUUUAGGAAGCCCAAAGGUGACUCGUAUUCAAAACAACCCUUCAGUUAUAAUUAUUGUUUGAAAACGCAAUGUCACACACAUCACCUGGGGCCUGGUUGCCUCUCUUUCCUCCUUUUGCCUCUCUGACAGCUCAAAAUAAAGUCACUACAGAUCUUUUUCGCCUAGAAAAACUCAUAGAAAAUUUCCAACUUUUCUCUCUCUCUCUCUACAAUUUAAGCUGGGAAUCUGUGAUGGAGUGAUGGAGAGAAUGAGAGUUCCCUGAAAAGGGGUUGUUGUGGGAGCUAAAUUGCCAUAAACUACAGGGAAAGAAAACAAAUUUGUGAGGAGGAAAAUCAAGUUUGAGAGAGAGAGAGUUGUUGGUGGGAGUGAUCAAAUGAGUACAGUACCAAGCAGGUUCAUUAAGUGCGUGACAGUUGGAGAUGGAGCUGUUGGGAAGACUUGCCUUCUCAUCUCCUACACUAGCAACACCUUCCCAACUGUAAUUCACAACUUUCUUCCAUUCUCUUUUUGUUAUUGCCUUUGAUUUCUCAAUUCUCAUGGGUUUUGCUUUGUGGGUUGUUGUUUUUUCUUUCCAACUUUAAUUCGCAACUUUCCUUCAUUUUCUUUUUCUUUUUCUGUCAAGUGCAUUUGAUUUCUGAAUUCUCAUGGGUUCCCAACUGUAGUUCUAUGAAAGUACAUUUCAUCUUGUGGGUUUUGCUUUGUGGGUUGGAGUUUUUGUUUUUCUUUCCAACUGUAAUUCACAACUUUCUUUCACUUUCUUUUUCUUUUUCUGUUUGAUUUCCUAGUUCUUACGAGUUUUGCUUUUUUGGGGUUGUUUUUUCUUGCCAGGACUAUGUUCCAACUGUUUUUGAUAAUUUCAGUGCCAAUGUUUUGGCUGAUGGGCAGACUAUUAAUCUGGGUCUCUGGGAUACUGCUGGUAAAUGCUCUAAUUUUCCUUUUUUAUCUUUGUUUGGUGGCUGAGAAAGAUAAGGAAAGCAAACCCAAUUAGUUGAUUUAGGCACACCGGAGUGGGUUUCUUGCAAAAUCAUAAAAUUUAGAAUUCAAAAUCUUAAUUUAUUUUCCUACAUUUUUCUCAGCAUCCAAACAGAGUGUUGGUAUCCAUCAUCCUCGUCAUUUUUCUUGUGUAUUACAUUAAUUAGAAUAUAAGACUUGAUCUUGGUUGCGGUCAGUUGUUUCAUGAUGAAAAGAAAUUUUUUUCCAAAGUUAUUUUUGGUUUCAUAAUGAGAUCUGUUGAAGUUUCUAAUUUCUUCUUCUCUGACAAAAGAAAAGGGUCCUUGCCUGUGAAGUUCUGCCUUCAAAAUGGAAAAUUUUCAAAUUUUCGUUUCUUCCCCUCCCAAUUCUCAGCAGCCAAACAAAGCAUAAAGGAUUUCUAAGCACCCUCAUAACUUCAGGGGAAUGAAACAUGUUAUGAAAGCCAAUUGAAAAAGGGAAAGCACAAAAGGAAAAAAGGAGGAGGGAUCAACUGAACAAGCCCCAUAUACUUGUUUGACUGGAUUCUUUUACUUUAAAGUAUUUCCCGUUGUUGAAUAUCAGAAUUGAGAAAUGCAUCAUUUAUAUCUGGAUGUCCACGAAAAAACCGAGUGAUCCCGUCUUCGGCAACAAUUUGAUAGCACAAAAUUCAUCCAAGAAAAGAGAGAAAGGAAUAGGGAAAAAAGAAGAGAGAAAAUGUCAUUACAUGACAACAUAUGGUUGUGCUAUUCAUAUGAUGAAGAGGCUAGAAAAUUCCUCAGUAAAGAACAAAGGCAAAUAUGUUUCCAUGGAAUUUCCUAACACCCUAUAUUAAUCUUUUGCUUUUCUUUCAAAAAGAAAUAAUUAGUUGAUAUCUAGUGAUCCGUUUAAUGUUGAAAAAGCGGCCAAUAAAAGGUAAAAGAUGAGCGAAAUUUCUGAUAUUUUGAACAAUGUAUGCAGGUCAAGAAGACUAUAACAGGCUAAGGCCUUUGAGUUAUAGAGGAGCUGAUGUUUUCCUCCUUGCCUUCUCUCUUAUAAGUAGGCCUAGCUUUGAAAACAUAUCGAAAAAAGUAAUAUUUCUUUCUCUCUUCUUUUGCUGUCCAAUUCUCUUUACAUGUUCUCUUUUCUGAUUCCCUUUUUAUGUCGUGUUUCCUUUGCUUUCUGCCCUUUCUUAUGCUGGAGAAGUGGGUACCAGAGCUGAGACAUUAUGCCCCAUCAGUGCCCAUUGUUCUCGUGGGGACCAAACUAGGUGAACAAUUAUUCAUCCUCAAUAACUCCUCAUUUUUGUUCAUUGGUAUUGCCAAAACUAUGUUGUUUCUUCUCGAUGAAGCUUCCCAAUACGGUCCGAGUUAUUGAGGGUAUUUUGCUGAAAAUACUAAAUUUGAUAGAGUGACAAAGUUCCCAUCCCAUCCCCCCCACCCCCCUUUUUUUUUGUGAGGCUUGUUUCCAUGUAUACAUAUGCAUAGAGCAUAGGGGCCCGAGUGAUGACUCGUGAAGAUUUAAAGGAGGGCAAGAUUGGAGCUCUCUCCAUGUUGUUUUGUACGUAAUAGAGUUUCAUUUGGAUGGCAGAUUUGAGAGAAGAUAAGCAGUUCCACAUGGAUUAUCCAGGGGCGUGUACCAUUUCAACAGAACAGGUGCACAUCCAAUUUCGCUAUUUCUUCAUUUCCGCAAGCAUCAGUGACUUUUAUUCUUAUCAUUACCAUUAUCAUUUGUGGAACUAUGAUAUUUGGGCAAAAUAAUGGGUAGAAUUUUCCACCACUACCACAAAACAUGUUACUAUAUGUGUCACCUUUGGAAAGUUAAAAAGUUCCAAUCCAAACAGAACUUGGAAAAAACUUGUGCAGUGAAACUAUCAUCGACUGAUUGACAACAAGGUAAAGGAAAAGAAAAUUUGGAAUCUUUCAACUACUUGGGGUUGCCUCAGUUUCUAAAAAGGUUCCAAAUUUUCUUUUCCUUGUCAACUUUUUCUUUACAACCAUAGGGAGAAACAAAAGGAAGUGGAAACAAAUCAGUGAAUCACAAUCAACUAGGAAUUAAUACAUGGCUUGACAUAGCAUAUCCAAUGUGCCGAAUCUCUCAUCUUCAAUUAAGCUGUCAAACAAAAAGCCUUGUAUUUUUAUGAAACUUAUCAUCCAGCAAAGGACAACAAAGAAUAUAUAUCCCUUUUCACUUGCUUGUCCCAUCUGUGUGUGAAUGGGAAAAAGAUAUUCUCUCCUUUUCUUUUUCAUGAGACGACAACCUUGCAUGGAGUCAUAGGUACUCCCAUGAACAAUAUAUCUUGAAAAAGCACGCAUAGGUUCAAAGUGUAGCCAAUUUGGAGAUUCCUAACUUUGUUUUUUUCCUCGGAAUUUUGAAAUUGCCAGGGUGAAGAACUAAAGAAGCAAAUAGGAGCAUUGGCAUACAUAGAGUGCAGCUCCAAAACACAGCAGGUUCAUUUUAUAUUGAGCGUAUUUCUUAAACUAGAAGUUCUAAAAUUGAGUUUUCUAUUAGCUAUGAUUCAGCUUUCUGAUUGCUCGAGGUGGUGUGUCCAUAGAAAAUGAAAGUUGGGACCAACUGAUUAGUGCAUUCUAUUUGGAUAUAUUCGAAGCAACUUCAAGGAAAAACCACUUUUAAUGGCCUUGAAAGUUCUCCUUGUGAUGCUUUUGAGGAAAAGAUAAGAUAAAAGUGACCCUUUUGGAGGCAUUACUCAGUUUCUUUUGGGAAUUAUUUCAGUACUGUUAAAAAAAUGGUCCCCUUUCAAUCUAUUCUCUUCUCUUUUCUUUCCUUCUCCUCGGUCCUUCCAAGAUCCAAACAUAUGUGAAAAACGAAAGCUUAAUACAAGAUGUUUACUUAGAAGCUAUGGUUUCUUUUGUAGUUAUUUCCCAACUUAACCUUUUGCCUGGAAAUUGCUCUAAAAGCAAUUCCCUGAAAAUCAGUCUUGUCACCUUGACUCUUAUUUUUUCAUCAAAGAUACUUGAAUUGGGUAAAUAUAUCUAUGAAGUUCUCAUGGCCAUUAGAGGGCCAUUGAUCAAAGCCGGUUCUGAAUGCAGACGUUAAUAUGAGUUUACUUUGCUGUUGAAAUGCAGAACGUGAAGGCAGUGUUUGAUGCUGCAAUCAAGGUGGUUCUGCAGCCUCCGAAGCUCAGUAAACGAAAGCGAAAAAAGAGGGCAUGCCAUGUUCUUUAACAGGUGGUGCUGCUGCUGCUGAUGUUCUGUUGAUUGAUGACAAUGACUAGGGCCUCACAGUUCCAUGAUCAGAUCUUCUGUCGAUUUGUGUGUUUGUGAAUUUUCAUGAUUUUUUUUAUAUGAUCUCUAACAAGAUCGAUCCAUGUGGGAAUUGCAUCUUGUGAUCAUUUAUGUUUUGGAAAUUCCAAAAAAAAAAAAAAAAUGUUGUCAUUAGGCCAUCGCAUUGUUUUAGGCCUUUCUGAAUCAGAUUUGUGAAUGUAUUUAUUUAUUAAGGAAAUUGUAUUGCCUUUCAUGUUUUGUUAAGUGAAAAUGGUCUCAUGGAGACCUCCUCCUAAUUUCCUAUAUAUCUUUGUUAUGUAAAAAAAAAUAGUAAAAGUUUAAAUUUUUAGGCUACAUUUGGUUGGCAGGCAUUAGAUAGGAAAUAAAUAUCUUAUGAUAUCAUAUUUCAUUAGAUAGGAAAUAAAUAUCUAGAAUAUGAUUUUCAAUAGGAUAUGAUAUUUUUAGAUAUACAUAUCAUAUUAACAUGAUAUUAUAAGGUAGCAUAUCUAAUAAGAUAUGCUAUGUUAUAUUAUGUUUAUAUUUAAUUUGUGAAAUAAAAAAAAUAUAGAAUAUAUGUUAUUUUUAAUGUUUAAAAUAAAAAUUAUAUCAUAUUCCAACAUUUUCUAUUUUUUUAAAAAUGAAAAUUUUCUUAUAUUUAACAAUAUUCAUGUUUAAAAUAUUUAAACUUUAUAAAUAAAAAGUUUUAUAUUAUGUUUUUGAAAAUAUAAAAAUAAUUUAUAUAUCAAAUAUUAAUAUUAUUUUAUUUUAUAAAUAUUUUUUUAUUUUUUUAACCAUAAAUUUAAUUUAUAAUAAAAAUUUAAUUUUGCAAAAUGAGUAUAUAAAAAAAUAAAAAAUUGAUAAAAAAAAUAUAAUGAGAUAUGUAUAUCUCAUAUCUUAAUAUGAUAUUAUUAUAUUUCAAAUAUUAAAAAAAAUGAUAAUAUAUCUUACCACUUAUCCUAUUCCAUAUUUAUUGAACAUAAAAUAAAAUAAGAAAUAAAAUAACUUAUCUUAUUCCAUCAUGAGCUAAACCUGAAAUAAGAUAUAAUAUCUUAUUUCUUAUUAUAUCUCAUGUUAUAUUCGGUCAACUAAACAUGACUUUAGGGGAAUUGAAUGAAAUAUAUUGCAUUUUUACUUUAUUUUACGUUUGAGUAAAAUAUAUUAUAGGUACUUUCUUAAUUUAAACCUUGUACUUCACUAGUAUCUUAGUAUGAUAUUUGAAUCUUAUUUCAAAAAUAUUCUUAUCUUAACAAAAAUAAAUGUUAAUAAUUCUAAAUAAAUUUAGAAGGCUAGAAGAAACCUUAUGGGGUUUGUAUAAUCAAUUGUUUAACCUAGGUAAUAUUUUUCAAUAUUUCUCUAUUAAUAAAUUGUUGGAAUAUUAUUAAAAGUAGUUUCAAUUAAAUUAUAUUAAAACUAUUCAUCUCGAAAAUAUUAUUGGGAGAAUUAUCUUUUGGGGGACCCCCAAAUUAACAAAAGGUCUAUAUAACUCUUCAAAUUGAGUUGAAGGAUAUGAAAUAGUAACGGACAAAUAUACCCUUUAAGAACACAUAUAAAAUAUUUUAUAAAAUUAAGUUAAAUAAUUUUUUUUCAAUAUUUUUUUUUCAAAAAUACUAAAUUAAAUAAAAGUAGUUUUCAAAAAUAUUAAAUUAAAUAAUUUUUUUUUCAAAAAUAUUAAAUUAAAUAUUUUUUAAAAUAUUAAAUUAAAUAAUUUUAUUUUUUAAAAAUAUUAAAUUAAACAAAAGUAUUUUAAAAAAUAUUAAAUUACAUAAAAGUGUUUUUUAAAAAUAUUAAAUUAAAUCAAAAAUAUUAAAUUAAAUAAAAAUAUUUUUCAAAAAUACUAAUUUUUUUCUCAAAAUCAACAAAGGGCAUUUUUGAAAAUACUGAAGGAUGAUAUCCUUCAACUCAAUUUUCAUACUUUCAAUGAGUCUUGGGCUCAAUUUGAAGAGUUACAUGGACCUUUUGUUAAUUUGGGGGUCCAUCUACUCCCAAAACAUAAUUCUCCCAAUAUUGAAUCUAAGUUUCAGGUUGUUUAAAUUGCUAAUGUAACUUAAAUUGAACUUAGAUUGAAAAACCUUAACUCCCAAACUUUAGAAUAGAUUUAAGUUAGGCAACUAAAUUGCACCCUUAUCUAAGUUAACAUUAUUUUAUAUAAGCUAGGUGUUGGUUUAAGAGUCUAAAAUAAUUAAACAAAGUGACUUAACUUAAAACUAAACAAAUAAAAAACAAAACAAAUAAGAGAAGAGUCCUUAUGAAAUUGUUUAGUUGAGGCUUGACAAAGCACUAUCCUUAAAAGAGAUCUACCCUCCUGAAGGUAUCAACCUUGAUGCAGCAAGGAAUUGGCACCCUACCUUCUGGAUUCAAUAGCCAAAGAAACCUCACUUUAGAUGAACACAUGUAACAAGGAAAGUACACCUCCUAAGACUUAGAAAAUAAUUAAUCCAAAUAAGUAAUGGAUGAAAGGAUUGCAAUAUGAGAUGAUAGCAUGGUUUGAAAUAUCAUAUAUCGGUACUUAGAUUUUAUGGAUGUAUCAGAGAUGUUUUGGAUGUAUCAGAGAUGUUGAGGAAAUAUCAGUGGAUAUUUUAACAAAAAAAUCGAUAAGACAAAAAUUAUUCAAAAUUCAUAAAAAUAUUUAGAAAAACUCUAAAAAAAUAAUCAACUAAAUAAAAAUACAUAUUUUAAUGUUAUUUUCUAAGAGCCCGUUUGGCAGUGAUUUUUAAAAGUGUUUCUACCCUUAAAAACACUUUUAAGUGUUUUUGGGAUGAAAAUAAAGUGUUUGGCAAAUUUUAAAAAACACUUUUGAAAAUCUGGAAAAACACUUGAAGUGAUUUUUAGAGAAUCACUUGACAGGUGUUUUUUUUUAAAAAACACUUCAAUUUUUUUGAAAUAUUCCAAAAAUGCCCCCCAAUGAUUCCCGAUAUCUUUCUUCCCUUUCGUUCAUAUCUCUCUCCUUUAUUCUCCUCCUCCAUCGCUCUCCAUCUAAGACAGCACAGUAAACCUCUAUUUUCAUUCGAGAUCGUGGAUCGAAGGUAACCCUCUAUUGAUGUUUGAUUAUGACUCUAAUAUGUAAGAAUAUAAUUUCCCCCAAUUUUUUUGCUAUGAAAACACUUGUCUUCUUAUUUACUUUUAAUUAUAAUUUUUUUUUUUGGGAAACUAAUAGGUAAUCAUAUAUUGUUUUGCUUUGAACUUUAUCUUUUAUUCAAUGUUCUUUUUUAUUGAUUUAGAUAUUUUUUGUAAAUAUUUUUAAAAAUUUUAGUAUAUUGAUAAAAAAAAAUUAUUAUUUUUAAUUAGAAAAAUCUUUUUUUUUUUAGAAAUUAAUAGGUGGUCAUAUAUUGUUUUACUUUUAAAAUUAUCUUUUAUUCAAUGUUCUUUUUUUUUAUUUUAUUGAUUUAGAUGUUUUUUGUAAAUAUUUUUUAAAAUUUUAGUAUAGUGAUAAAAAAAUUAUUAUUUUUAAUUAGAAAAGUUUCAAUGUUAUUUUUUUAGUGAUUUAGAUGUUUUUUCAUUAAUAAAAAGUUUUUUUGUUUAUCAUACCAUUUUUUUAAUUAAAAUUGUAUGUCAUUUUUGGUAAUUUAUUAAUAUUAAAAGUGUUUUUAUAUUUAUACAAUAUAUUAUCAAAAACACUUUAGAAUCAUUUUUUCUGAUUAUCAUAAAAGUGUUUUUCAUAGAAACACUACAGCAGAAACCACUUCAAAUAAAAACACUUCCACUAGAAUCACUACCAAACGGGCUCUAAGUGUACUUGACAUAAGUAUGAUCAAAAAAGAAAAUAUCGAUAAGCAAUGAUAUAACAUAUUAGAACUUCAUUUUUUUUAUUUUACUAUUUUUUUAAUAAAUUUAUAUUUUUAAUAUUUUAAAAUAAAAAAUUCAAAAUUAAAAAGAUAAAUAUAAAAAAUUUAAAAGUGAAAUGAUAGUAAUUUUUUUAAAUAAGAUUAAUAAGAUAAAUGAUGAUAUAUUUAAUAUUAAAACUAUAACUUAUUUAAUUCAAAUUCAUUCAAUAAUAUAAAAUAAAUGAUGAUGCAUAUAUGCCUUUUUAAUAUUUAAUUAUCAUAUAAAUGAUACUAAAAAAAAAUACAAAAUUACAAUGAUGAUUUUUAUACAUUUAUUAAUUAAUUAAAUAAAAUAAUUAAAAUUAAUUUAUUUAUUUUUUAAUAAUGAACUUUAACAAAUUUAUUAUAAUUAUAUAUUAACAAGUGAGAACAUGGCCCAGUGGCAACCUGGCUUUUUGAACCCAAGCCUUUUGGCCUGGGUUCGGGCGCAGGCAGCAGAAGGCAGCAACGCAAACCCACAAAAUUUGAAAUUUAAAGGGGUGGGCAGCAGGCGGGGCAGCAGCUUGGCACGUUGGCUAUCAGUCAAUUGACCCAAAAAAUUGGGGAAAUUUCCCAAAAAAGUAGGCAAAAGAGCCGAUAAGUACCGAUAUAUCGGGAAAAUCACUGAUUUUUUUUUUAUUUUUAUUUUUUUAUGAUUUUUUGCCAGACCGAUUAUCAGUGGCUGAUUUCAUUUCGACCACCACCCGUAAUUUUUCAAACACUGGAUGGUAGUAGUAGAACUCUUUGUUGGGGUUAUCUAUUUUUGCACCCCCACUCCAUCCCAAAACUCUCAAUGGCUUUAGUCAAACUUUUUAAGUCUCCAAUCUUUCAUUACAGCAUUCAUCCUAUGAAACUAUCAUUUUUUUUCUCAUGUAAUUACAUACCAAAAUGAAAACAUCAAUUAUAUACACUAAGGUGGUGUUUGUUUUUUGGCUGAAUAGAAAAAGCCAAAAUAUUUGGCUUUUUCUAUUNNNNNNNNNNNNNNNNNNNNNNNNNNNNNNNNNNNNNNNNNNNNNNNNNNNNNNNNNNNNNNNNNNNNNNNNNNNNNNNNNNNNNNNNNNNNNNNNNNNNNNNNNNNNNNNNNNNNNNNNNNNNNNNNNNNNNNNNNNNNNNNNNNNNNNNNNNNNNNNNNNNNNNNNNNNNNNNNNNNNNNNNNNNNNNNNNNNNNNNNNNNNNNNNNNNNNNNNNNNNNNNNNNNNNNNNNNNNNAUNGAGCCAAAAAACAACACACCACCUAAGUUUCAUAUCAUUCAAAGCUAAUGAAGAUUUGCUCUCAUUUUAGUGCUUUUAGGAUAGAUAAUCACAAAACUUUUAUUAAUCAAAUAUGAAAUCUUCAUGAUUCAUAACACUUUUAUAUCACCAAGAUAGGUCUAUUUUUUUGGAUUUUUUUAGAGGAUUUUUGGGCAAAAUCCAUCAAAUGAGCUAACAUUUUAGUGUAAUUAUGGAUGAGUUUUGGGACAAUAAACUAUGAUAAAAUAUAUGCCCCAUCAAAGUAUUUAUGCCCUUUAAAUAUAGAAUUCAUAUUUAUGUGUUGUAUUUUAAAAAUUAAAAUUAAAAGGAUAAUGCCCUCCUAAAAAUAUUGAUAAUAAAAAAAUUAUUAGAAUUUUAAAAAUAAAAAUAAAAAUAUAUAACAGUCAAGUUUCUAUGAAAAAUCAUUUUACUUAUCAUCUAUUUGAUAAAACAUAAUAAAUAAUUUUCAAUGAUUCAAAAAAAAUUACCAAAUUUUACAAGAAAUUUUAAUUUAAAUUACAAAAUGUCUUCUUUAUCUACUUCUAGUUAGUUAAUUUUCUAUUAAAAAUAGCAUAAUUUCCUUCUUAAUUCACAUAUAUUUUAAAUAAAAUAUAUUUUAUUUGAAAGAGUUUUGAAAUUUUGUUUAACAAAUUUGUUUGAAAAUCUUUUCUUAAUGCUUUCGUGGGUGUAAGCUCUCAGAUCCGAAGGCUACUAGGCAUACCCUAAUGUUAAAUAUUUUGUCAUUUAGAAUCUUUAUCUAAUCAUGGAUACAAUUUACUAAGCUAUUUUUUUCUUAGAAGUUUGUUAUAACAUUUACAAACUUUUUGAAAUAUGAAAGUAUGAUCACAUUUAUUUAAUUCAAAAUCUUAUGUGAAACUAACUAAUUUUGAUUGAAGAAAACACCCAAGAAGAGGGUGAAUUAGGUUUUUCAAAACUUUUUCGAAAAUCUCGUUACAAACAAUGAUAUAGUAAGGAAAGUAAAAAGAUAAGAUAAUAUAGAAAGCAAACACGGAUUUUAUAGUGGUUCAACUAAUGUUGCUUAUGUCCACUCUGUUCAAACUCCUCCCAAGUGGGGGUUCCUUUAACUUAAAGCUUUAACCAAGCUUCCAAUCCUUUAUACUUGGAUUUUGACUCUAAUGGGCACUACAAGUUCUCUUCAAGUAUACCUCAACUUGAAACAGUUAACACUUAAACUCUUUCUUCAAUAAAUGUGAAUAAAAGAGCAUUCAACCUAACACAUUAAUGAAUAAGUACAAUGAAAGCUAGAUGAAAAACAAUGGUGCACUAGGAUGAUUUGCCAAUGAGGAUUCAAUGCACUAAAAGAGAAAAUGAGAACUUUUAAUGAGAAACAAGUAGGUGGGGAGUUAAUAGUAGAUGUUUUCUAUAUCAUAAAUGAAGUGGAGUUUUCAAUUUAUAGGUUUUCAACCUUGGGUGCCAAAAAGUGUUCCAAUAGGCGUCUUCGGGUCAAACUACGAUUUGAUCGAUUAAUUAGUCGUUGACCAUUUAUUGCACUGUAGGUGACUAUUGGAGUUCGUUCAGACCUCAAUCGAGAAAAUCUUUCUCUCAACUGGGAAAGGUCUCUCAUCGACUAGGAAUGCAAGGCUACUAGAUGAGAGAAUAUUACUUCCAUUCCUCAACCAAUCCUCGACUGAGAAAGGGAAAUUAGUUGAUCAAUUCCUUAAUCGAUUGAAUUAAUUGGUCUUGUCUUGGACCGGUUAGCUAAAUUAAAUAAGAGCUGAAACUUAUCAUUUUCAAUUCAUUUUUCUUCUAACACUUAAACAAGGUCUUUAGAUACCUUAGUAGGUCAAGUUUAAAUAAUUUUACCUAAUGUUCAUGUUAGGAUACUCAGGUUUUAAUAAAAUUUUAACUUUAAUAUGUAAACUAAGUAUGAAGUAAUGCAUGAUUUAAUAUAAAAAUCCUAGGUGCAUCCAAGUGUUCACCUUACAAAGAAUUCCUAGGCUUGAAUAGUCUUCAUGCACACUUAAACUUGCACUAUUUUGAUCUUUUGAUGAUUAUCUUAAUUUUCCAUUCAAAUUUCUUAAAUAAAACCUAAAAACUCAUCUUGAUUUUAAGGCAUUAGUAAACUAACCAUGAUUUAUCAUCAUCAAAAGGUGUUUAGGAGAACCCUUAAGCUAACAAUCUCUCCUUUUUUUUAUGAUGACAAACCUUAGUUAUCUAAGAAGAAAUAAAAUCUCCCUCUUAAACCAGGCAUAUACCAGAAUCAAGAAUUUAAAGCUCAAAGGAAUUUAACAAUUUGAUAGCCAAAGCUCAAAGCAAACUAGGAUGAUCAACCACAGGCAAAUAUAGAAAGUUUGUGCAUGAUCAUUCUAUAAAGAUGAGAAAAGCUAUAAUGAUAACCAUCAAUCAUCAAUCAAGGAAACAUGUCAAGGAGGAUGAACAAUUAGAUAUAUGUAUGAUAAUCCAUAAUGUGCACACACACACACACAUAUAUAUAUAUAGAUAUAAUAGCAUGGAUAUGAUCAAAUAUAAAAAAGAAAAAAUCUAAAAUACGUGAAUAAGUCAAGCAUGCCUAAAAGAUGUAUGUAAAAGUAGUUACUAUCCUCCAUGCAAAAGUAACUCUUUCUUCCGAGAUAUAUGCCUAUGAAAUAUCUCCUCCUUUAGCAACAUAAAAAAUGAACAAGGGGAUGCUCCGACUAAACCUCAAGGUUAUGAAAGAGGUGGAGGAAACAUAGAGUAGAAAUAAACCAUCAUCUCAACAUGCUAACCAUCAAAAUGUUGACAUGAUGUGAUCAAGGUGAUCAUAUAUUUGAUCUUAUUGAUUUGAGAUAGAAUCAAUCCAAGCAAACAGCUGGUCAUACUAAGCAGUAGUUCGCUCCUUAUAUUGAUCAAAACAAUGGUAAAAAUGCUCAUACUACAAGGUGAACCCAAUCUAGUACUGGUCCAUCAUUCCUCUACCAAGUAGAAUUGAAAAUCAUGAAUAAUGGCAAUCUCUCCCAUUCGUGCCCCUAAAGAGUUGAUUUGUACACCAAAGUCUAUCUAAGGGGCAUGUCGGGAGCAGGAAAUGCCUAAGGCUAAGGUAUCUCAAUGUAUGUAUGCUCAAUGUAUGAUGGCUCAGAGUGGGAUCCUUCAAUAUACAUGGUCUCUAUGCGCAUGGACUUAGAAAAUGCACCAUCGACAAAUAGCUCAACCUUUGUCUGAGUAGGAAAAGACUCUAUUUAAGGUGAAUGGAUCAUAUUCUUGGUGCCAACACCCUAAUCAUCUUGAGGUUCUUCUUCUCCCUCCAUUUUUCUAAUUUGAUUUUCCUUCUCAACCAUAGGAGGAACAAGUGUAGUUUUUUUUUUUCCAUCUUCCUAACCCAAGAACAAUUUAGAGUUUUCUCAAAUUUCAUCUAUUCGAUAGAAAAUGUAUUGUAAGUGUCAUAGAUACUCAAGACAUCAAUGUCUCGCUCUCGGAAUAAAUCAAUGCCAACUUCCUUGAACACUUUUGAAAGAAAGUGUAAGGAAGAACAUGAGUGGUGUUCUCAUAGCAAGCAAUCAUAUGAUGCAUCAUAAGGUAGCCAAAAGGAUCCUAGUCAAUAUCGAAUCAAUUAGGAAUACCUCAAAGUAUGAUACCUCAUCCUUGUACCUUUCUUUUCGAAUGAUAAAUAGAAAAUCAUGUGAUAAAUCAUGUAGUCGAUGAUAGUUAGGCCAUUGACAAAUGGCUUGCCAAUUCGAUUGGCAUCGGGAAGUUCACAGAGGUGCUAAAAUACCUUUCCAACAACAAAAACUAGGAUAAUAGGCUAGGUUUUGAACUCGUAAACUCUCAAUCUUAUAACAAGAACACCAAGAAUGCAGCAAAUCACAUCAACACCUAGAUUAAUCUCCACAACUCUCAAUGUACAUGAAAUUGGUCCUCCAACAGAGAAUCUCAUCUUGGAAUAUAAUGUGUGGAGCAAUGUUGAGAAAAUCAACUCAGAAGAGUAACAGCUAGGAAUCCUCCCAUCCUCAUAAACAACUCUUGAAAGUCGAAAUAAUGUGGUUGAACAACAGCAAUGUCUCACUCGGUAUUCUUCAAUUGAAGUGAAGGUGCUCAUGUCAAAUAUGGCUUUCUGGCAAGCCUUUGGCUCGAAAGUCUCAAUGGGGCACUUGCCCUGUGCCCUAACAUCAACCAACUCUCCAUGUGGUGCAAUGGAGAAUAAAGAACAAAAUAAAGAGACUUGAGAAAGAAGCUUAAGUGGAGAGAGAAACAUCUAAAACCAAAACCUUAACCCUAAAAAAUUCUCCAAAACAAUGUCCAGAUAGCUCGAUCAAACAUGAAGCCUCUCAAAUCUUCUUCCAAAACCCUGAAUUGGCAAGACCCCUUGAAAAACUAGAGGGAACGAGGUAGAAAAAUGAGGUGUGGGGAGGCCUUUUAAGCUACCAAUCUCGACGAACUGAUCAACCAAUUCCAAUCGAUUGACCACUUUGGUCAAUGUGCUCACCAACUUAGGAUUUUUGAAAAAAAAAGAAAAAGAAAAUCUUCAUUUAUUCCUUCUGCCUAUCUAAGAAGGAAUCCCUAACUUUUUAUGUCUAAUGCCAUAAGAAUUUUGAUUUUUGGUCAAUAAUUGACCUUUCUUAUGUAUGCUUGGAAUGAUAUGAGAUGUGAUGUUGUGUAUAAGAUAGGUAAGUCAUAUAAGCACAUUAAAAAAAAUUAAAUUAAAUAAAAAUAACCCCUAAUUCUCUCCUCAUUAAAAAAAAAAAAAGUCUUUGCUUAGAGGUUAAGUAAAUAUAUCAACAAGUUGAUCUUUAGUGCCUUUAAAUUCAAGUGUUAUAUCAACUUUUUUCGCAUGGUCUCUAAGAAAGUGAUGUCUAAUUUCAAUGUGCUUAGUCCUAAAGUGUUGCAUGAGAUUCUUUGAGAUACUUAUAACACUUGUAUUAUCACAUUUUAUUCGAACCUAUUUAAAAGAUAAACCCAAAUCGCUAAUUGUUUGCUUUAUCCAAAGAAUUUGUGCUUGACAUAAAUUGGUCGAUACGUAUUCGGCUUCCAUCGUUGACAAAGCUACUGAUAGUUUUGCUUCUUACUAUGCCAUGAAAUAUGUAAGUGUCCUAAUAAAUGACAUAUGUCACCAAUGUUUUUUCUAUCUACUCUACAACUGGUAAAGUUGGCAUCCAAAAAUCCAAUUAAUUCAAAGUAGUCACUCUUAAGAUACCAUAGUCUAAGUCAAUUGUCCCUUUCAGAUGUCUAAAAUUUCUUUUGUCACACUUAAGUGCGAUUCUUUAGGACAAGAUUGAAAUCUAGCAACAAACAUACACUAAACAUAAUAUCGGGUUUACUAGCGAUUAAAUAAAGUAAAGAACCUAUCAUUCUUUUAUACAUAGUUGAGUCAAUGGACUGACUUUACUCAUCCUUGUCAAAUCUUGAUGGAUGAGCUCAUUAGAGUCCCAAUUGGUUUUGUUUCCUCCAUCUUGAACCUUUUAAGAAGAUCUCUAAUGUACUUGGCUUGGCUGAUGGAGAUGUACUCUUCCUUUAGUUGUUUGAUUUGAAGCCUAAGAAAGAAAUUGAACUCUCCCAUCAUGCUCAUAUUAGACUCACAAUGCAUACACUUGGCAAACUCUUCACAAAGAGAAACAUUAAUAGCACCAAAUAUAAUAUCAUCAACAUAAAUUUGAAUCAUAAACACAUCUUCUUAUUUGGUUUUAAUAAAGAGUUUUGUGUCAAUUUUACCCAUUUUAAAGUCAUUUUCUAAAAGAAAUUUGCUUAGCCUUUCAUACAUACUCUAGGUGCUUAUUUUAAACCAUAAAGCCUUUUUAAGUUUGAAAACAUGGUUAGGUAAGCUAAAACUUGCAAAACCGAGUGGUUGUUCAAUAUAGACUUCUUCCAUUAUAAAACCAUUUAAGAAAGCAUUUUUUUUUACAUCCAUUUGAUAUAAAAUAAAGUCUUUAAAGCAGGCAAAUUCAAGUAAUAUUCUAAUGACUUCUAACCUAUCCACAUGAGCAAAGGUUUCUUCAUAGUCUAUUCUUCAUUCUUGAUUAAACCCUUUGGCUACUAACUUAGCUUUGUUUCUAACAAUUAUUCCAUUUUGAUUCAUUUUAUUUAUAAAAAUUCAUUUAGUGUCCAUAACACUUUGAUUUAAAGGUCUAGGUACAAGUUCUCAUAUUUCAUUCUUUCAAAUUGAUUUAACUCUUUUUGCAUAGCAAUCAUCCAAUUUUUAUCUUCUAUGACAUCAUUUAUGUUCUUAGGCUCAAUUUGAGAAAUGAAAACUAAAUUAUUGCAAAUAUUUCUAAGAAAGAUCUAGUUCUUAUCCCACUAGAUAGAUUACUUGUGAUUUGAUCUUGAGGGUGGUUGAUGGCAAACUUUCACUCUCUUGGAAGGUCUUUACUUGAUUCACCUUGAACUUGUUGAGGAGAAAGAAAUGUGAAAGGUGAUCCUUCUUCCUUUGAAUCAACUUCCUUUUCUUUUUAUUGUCUUUCAUCUACAAUUUGCAAUCUUCCCAUGUAGUCCUUCAAACCUAAGUCAUCAUCAAGACUAUAUCUUCCUUGAAUAAAGUUGUUAGAUUUAUUAAAAAAAACAUGAAUGGAAUCGUCUAUUACCCAUGGUUCUUUUGUUGAAAACUCUAAAAGCUCUACUUGAAGUUGAGCAUCCAAGGAAAAUUCUAACAUCCAAUUUUGCAUCAAACUUUCCAAGAUUGUCUUUGGUGUUUAAAAUAAAGCAUUUACAUCUAAAGACUUUGAAAUAUCCAAUAUUGAGUUUCUUAUUUUUCCAAAGCUCAUAGGGAGUUUUCUUGAGGAUGAGCCUUAGUAAAAAUCCAUUUAAAACAUAACAAGAAAUGCUAACCAUUUAAGCCUAAAAGUAUUUUGGUAAAUUGUUUUCAUUUAGCAUUGUUCUUACCAUUUCUUGUAAAAUUAUAUUUUUUCUUUCAACUACCCCAUUUUGUUGAGGGGUUUUAGGAGCCAAAAAAAUUAUGGUCAAUUUCAUGCUCAUUGCAAUAAGUUUUAAAAUCAGUAUUUUCAAAUUCUCUCUCAUUUCUUAUACAAGUGAUUGCAAAUCCUUUUAAAUUUUGAAUCUCUUUGAAUAACUCAUCAAGAGCUUUAUUUUUAUUUUUAUUACUUAAAAAUAAGAUACAUGUAUAUCUAAAGAAGUCAUCUACAAUAACAUAAGUAUAAGAUUUUCCUCUAAGAUUUGGUGUCUUAGAGGGACCAAAUAGAUCCAUGUGCAAUAGUUCAAGUGGUCUAGUUGUGGAAAUGUUUUUUUUUUUUUUUUUGCUUUUAAAAGAUUUUUUUAUUAUUUACUUCCUUACUUGACAUGCUUCAUAAAAUUUGUUCUUUUGAAAAUUUAUAUUAGGAAUGUCUCUAACAAGUUCAGUUUUGUUGAGUUGUGAAAUGAAAUUCAUAUUAACAUGUUCUGACCUCCUAUGACAUAGCCAACUUUGAUCAUGUAUGCUUAAAAAACAUUUAUCAUAACCAUCAUAUUUGGAAAUAUUGAUUGUGUAAACAUUAUCACUUCUAUGGCUUGUGAAAAUGAUUUUACACUUUGAAUAUAUUUGAUAAUGUGAUGAGAUACUUCAAAAAUCACUUUAAAACCCUUGUCACAUAGUUAGCUAAUAUUCAAAAGAUUAUGUUUUAAAUCACCCACUAAUAACAUAUUUUCAAUAGGAGAUAAAGUGUUAUUAACAAUAUUUCCUCGUCUUAUAAUCCUUCUAUUAGGGUAGAACCCUUACAAGCAUGAUAUGAGAUAAUAAACUCUUAGAUUUUAUUAUUUUUUAAAUAAAGUUCUAGUUUACUUUUAUCCAUUCUUUUUCCAUGCAUUAUAUCUUAUAAGUGCUCUAACUUAUAUCUUUUGCAUUAUACGUGACUUGGGUGCAUUAAGAGUGACACGAAAGAUUAUAAAUAGAUGACUUAUUCACAACUAGUUCAUGGGUAAAGGUUGUAGUGUACCACAUCCUAAUUGGAGGGAUGGCUGGUAUUGGCUAUUGAGAUGUGUUUAUCAUGGUGAGUGCACUAGUGUGUAUGGUUACACAUUGGAUAGGACCCACAAUCAGUCAUGACUUAAUACUAUAAAGUAAAUAUAACCUCACCAAGCUACUUUAUUGUGUUAUCUCUUAACAUUGAGAGAAUAUUGAGUCUUCAUGUAAACUUGAAUUUGAACUUCUUUGAUCCUUUGAUGAUUAUCUUGAUUUUUCAUUCGAAUUUCUCAAAUAAAACCUGAGAACUCAUCUUGAUUUUAAGUCAUUAGUAAACUAACCAUGAUUUAUUAUUAUCAAAAUAUGCUUAAGAGAACGCUGAGGCUAGCAUAUUGUAAUUUAAAUAUUGUCCUUGUACACACAAAUUUUGUGAAGUCCUGUAAAAUUAGCAAAACUAUAGAAAAAUAAUGUGAACAAAAAUUUGUAUUAAAAUUAAUAAUUGUAGGGUACAAUCCCAGUGUUAAUAUUAUUUAUAAAAUAAUAUUUUUCCCUUUAAUUUGUUUUCCUUGAUCACAAAUUGAAAACAAACGACAAAAGUGUUUUCUUGAUUUUGAAAGUCAAUCAAAGGUCUAAAUUGACUUAUUCAUAAAUUACUUUGUUGAAAGGCGAAGAACACGUGUGUAGUUUUUUUUAUAAUUUAUCAAACUUGUAGGGAGAUUUUGUAAAGUUUUUUCUUCUUUGUAAAACUUCUUUUCCCAUGUAGAAUUGUUUUGUCAAUUCGAAGUCCCUUUCAUUGAAGGAAUUCACCAUUAUUUAUAUGUGAAACUAAAGAAUUAAAUUUGGAAUUCCCAAUAUUUAGUUGUUUAAUUCAAAGAAUUUGGUUCUUUGAUUUUGGUAAUUUGUCUCCUUUAUUAAGGAAAUUUUUUAACAAGAAAAUAUUUAUUUUUAAUUCUUUUUUUUUUUAAUUCAAUUGGAAGAUUUGAUUUUAUUUGUAAGAUUAAAUUUUGUAGCCUUCUAAUUUGUGAAUAAGAGAAUAUUUAUUUUAUUUUUAAAUUUUUUUUACUGCAAUUGGAAGAUUUGAUUUUAUUUGUAAGAUUGAAUUUUGUAGUCUUCCAAAUUUCGCCACAUGCCAUCUUUUGAAUAUAUGUCACAUGUCAAAUGUGUGUGACCCAUCACUUGUAGAGUCUAAAUUUUCUUAAAUUGGGAAGCUACAUCUUUGAAGACCAAUUUAAUAAUAAUUUAAUUUAGUGAAAAUUUUAAUGUAUACCCUUCUCUAAUAUUAAUUUAGUGAAAUAUUGGAGCUAGGGAAUUCUCUUAGGGAGGGCUAGGAGAAAAACCUUAUAUUAUAUAUAAGGUAAUUAAUGGUAAUUAUUAUUAUUAUUAUUAUUAUUAUUAAAAUUAAAUAAUUUUAAUAUUAAUUAUGAAAAUGUAUCAAAUUAAACAACCAUAGAACUAAGAAUAUUUAAAAAAAAAGUUUUAGAUUUUAUAUUAAAAAAAUUAUUAAGAACAUUUAAAGGAAAAUUUCAAAAGAAAUAAAAAAAAUGGAAAGAAAAAUCAUAAGAAAUUUUUAAUAAUUUUAAUCAUAUUGUAGCAAAAACCCUUAAAAUUAUUUUAAAGAAUUCAAUCAUUUUUAUUAUAAAUUUUGAUAUUUUUCAAAUGGAAGAGGUGUGCAUCUUAAGGUCCAUUAUCUAAUAAUUUGAUUUUAUUUAUUUAUAUCUUAAUCUCAUUCUUUGUACGUGCAUUCAAAGGCCUAAAUUUUUCUAUGUAUUUUCAAAAGCAAAGAUUAAGAUUUUUAUAGAUAUCAAAUAAAUACCUUAAUUCUUUUUAAAAUAAUUCAAUAUAAAAUAGUUGAAAGUAAAUUUUUUUACUUAAAAAUUAUGUUUCAUAUAGUAUGAUUUAGUUAAGUCCAAUAAGACAAAAUCAUAAAAAAAAAAAAGUAUAAAAAGAAAAAGAUUGAAUAAACAAAAAUAAAUAAAUACCAAUAUGAGAUUUUAUUUAUUUUCUAAUUUUAAUUCAAUCUUAAUAUUUUAUUAGUAAUUGGUGGUAAAUAAUUUUGGUAAUAAUAUUUAGUUGCCAUUAUUUUUUAUUUUUUAUUUAAAAAAUAAAUUAAAUUUAUAUUUCUAUGGGGCAAAUUGUCCAUUUUGGUUUUUAUUUGCCUAAAAAGUUUUAAUAUGUAAGGGAAUUUUUUGUUUUUUUUUUUUUGGGGGGGGGGGGGGGGGGGGGGGGGGGGGGGGGGGGGACAUCGGAAAAAGAAGUUUUUGAUUUUUCACGAAGCUUUUUUUUUUUUUNNNNNNNNNNNNNNNNNNNNNNNNNNNNNNNNNNNNNNNNNNNNNNNNNNNNNNNNNNNNNNNNNNNNNNNNNNNNNNNNNNNNNNNNNNNNNNNNNNNNGGGGGGGGGGGGGGGCGGAUAUUCGUAAUUAAAAUAUUUGAACUUUACAAAUAAUUUUUUUAUUUUUCAAUCAUAAAUUUAAUUUAUAACAUGUAUAUCUCAAAUCUUACCAUGAGAUUAACAUAACCCAUGUGAAAAGGAUCAAAAGAAGGGAGGUGGAUAUCCACUACUUAUUAUAUCUUAUAUUUGGUUAAACAUAAGAUAGAAUAGGUAAUAGGAUAACUUAUCAUUUCCCAUCACCAACCAAAUAUGGAAUGAGAUAUAAUAUCGUCUCUCUUAUCUUAUCCCAUGUUAUAUCCAAUUAAUCAAAUAUAACUAAAUGACAUGAAAAUUGUAUAAAAUGAAUUUAUAUUGUAUGAAUACGAUUGUAUCAUUUACCAUGUACUCUAUUUGUUUUUUUUCCUUGCUUUUAAUUCUUUAGUGGUUUCUUCAAAAUAUUUUUUAAAAGAAUGAUAAAAAUAAAUAAACUAUACCCGUAAAAUUUUGAUUUAAAAAGCUUAUUUCAAUAUCUAACUUCAAAUUAUUUUUCAAAAUAAAAUUUUAAAUUAAAAUAUUAAAAUUAUUAUUUUUAAAUGAUUUCAACAUGAUUUUUUUUAUUUCAAAUAAUAACAAUAUAUUGUAUGAAAAUCUAAAAUAUAUGCAAGAACUCUUAAAAAAAUUAUUAGUCCUCCCUUUUAAAAUAUUACAUUUUAAUGAAACUUUCAUUAAUUACUUGUAACAACAUUAGUAAAAUGUUAUAUUAUUAAUAGUAAAAACUAAAAAAUAAAAAAUAAAAAAUAAAAUAAAAAUGAAUUUAAAUUAUAGAAAAUAUUUAUUUUUACUUAAAUUUAACUUAUUCAAUUAUAAAAUAUAAAAAUUGAAUUAAAUUUAAAAAAUAAAAAGAUAUUCCUAAAAGUCUCUUAAUAUGUCUAAUAAAAUAAAACUAAAAAUAAAUUUAAAAUAUAGAAAAUAUUUCUUUUUACUUAAAAUUUAACUUAUUCAAUAACAAAUUAUAAAAAUUAAAUUAAAUUUAAAAAAUUGAAAGAUAUAACUAAAAGUCUAUUAAUACGUUUAUUACGUUUUCCUUUCUCAAUUUUUUUUAACGAAAAGAGAAAUGGAAAAAUAUUAAAAUAUUUUUCUAAAAAAAAAAGUUUUUAGAAAAAGAAAAUAUUUUUAGAAAAAAUAUUAAGAGAUGGAAGAAAUGUGACACUUCAAUAAAAGAGGAAAGGAGAAAGAGUGGAGAAAAACAAGAAAUAAUUAUUUAAAAGUCAAAUGAUGAAGACCCACAAACACAUUCACAUUGCAAACUAUAGGAUUUUGAUAGAUUAUUUACUUUAAUCGGUCCUAAAUCAUAAUUGUCCUUUUUCUUUUUCCUUUUUUUUUCUCCCUUUGUGGGGGAGGGUGGGGGUCAUGACUGUCCUACCCAAAUUAAUCACCUCUCUCUCUCUCUCUCUCCCCCUCUCU